GGACACGGUUGGGGCAGCCAAGCUAAGGAGCUGCUGGACCUACAGAACUGUGAGCCGACAGUCACUGGCUGCCUGUGCUCCUGUGAACCCAGGGCCUGUCUCAGGGCCUGCCUGCUCUCAGUCAAGCCUGCUGGCGGGUGUGGGGCCCUUUCCCUGCACACGGUCCAAUCGUGAUCAAAGGAGGAUGAGGAUGGAGAAAAGUGUCCUUCCAGUUCAUUCAGACAGAACAUUCUGAUGUCUCCAUGGAUUUUACAGUGUGCUGCACAGACCCAUGGCACAGUGAGUAGAAAGUCAUCUAAGUGUCUAGUCUUCCUGGGUCAGCAGUAUAGAAUGCGUUCAGGAGUGUGUGACUCUUGUACACUUCAAAAGCCUGGAGACAAGUGCUUCCCAGCUGUGCUGCAGAAGUGGGCCCUGGGUGCAGAGCCGGAAGCUUCCAGAUUCUCUGCAUGGCUGACCCAGAGCUGCCUCCACAUCCCUGGCUGCUCAGAGAGGCCUGAAGGCCCCAAGAGCAGGUGUCGGGGAGCGGGUGGCUCUGGCCGUAUUGAGGCAGGGCUGCUGGCUCCUGUUUCAACCUCUCUGCGUCUGAGCUGGCCGUCCUGGGAUGGGUGGGUGUGGGCAUGGGCGUAGGGGCAUGGAAGGGGACCAUGUCCUGCAGAUGGACAUCUAGCUAAUGAGGACGCUGUGGGAGCAUGUCCUGGGGUCACUCCCUGCUAUCUGGCUUUUCUAAGUACAAGCAUUCAAAACAUUCUGGGGUUACAGCAGAGGCAUGGCCUCUGACAGGCAAGGAUGACAUGUGGCCAGACACACCUGGACGUUGUGGGGAGUAGGUCGCUUUAGGAACCCUGUGGCCAGGCUCAGCCUAGAGCUGGGAAGAGGUCCAGGAAAGGUCUGUAGUAUGCCUGGCACUAGCCCUGUGCAACCAGGCCUGUGUGGACGGUCCAGACCAUGGCCAAGGUGAGGCUUUUGUCUAUUUAUCUUAGAAACACAGAGGAUAUUUCCAUUUUUACGCACCAUUUUCUGAAUCAGCCACAUAAUCAUUGGUCCCUACAGCAAGAAUUUCACCAGAUUCCGUACACAUGCUCAGAGCAUAGUGAGAUGGUUCAUCGGCGAAGGUCUACACCCAGAGAUGGGGAGGCUGGUCCCAGAUCUCAAGGGAUGGUCUCUUCUUGGAAUCAGAAUCGUCUGCAUGAAGUGGUGGUGGGAUGCAGAAACCCGGGGUGAGGCAGCGGCCCUGGGGGCUGGAUCCGGGAAGGUCCUGAGAUGCUUCUGGUCAGGACUCAAACUCCAGGAAGGGAUGCUUCAAUGUGAGACACUGGUGCCUCCUUGGUGAGGUAGUGAUGGGGGCACCACUGCCGUGCCGGCUCUGGGGAUAAUUCCCCCCAGGGGGUUUGGGUUCAGAGGCAGGGCCCCACCGCAUGUUGGAAAGACAGGGUGUGCUGUUUCAGGAGACUGGUCACAUACAGUGAGGACUAGACCUGUGAGCUCACAGAGCAAAG
rnacentral:lncRNA from 1 species